rnacentral:lncRNA from 1 species
UUAUGUGAUCUAUAAGUGUGACAAAUAGCGGAUCUGAUCAUAAUCUUGAAGUUGCCUUUUUGAGUUUUGCCACAUAAGCGAAUAACGCUGACCUAUAGAAGCCAAAGGACUAACUUGUUAAGCCUACAGUUCUCCUAUCUGCACUGCACUAACUUGUUAAGCCUACAGUUCUCCAAUCUGCACUGCACAUAUUUUAAGCUUUUCUUGCUGAACAUGUCGAACGUUUGACAAAUUAUGCUGAAAGUUCAGGAUCUUUAGGCAAUGUGUCUCAGCUUGGAACUUUGGCU